rnacentral:rRNA from 1 species
UCUCGCUGACGAGCGGCGGACGGGUGAGUAAUACUUAGGAAUCUACCUAGUAGUGGGGGAUAGCUCGGGGAAACUCGAAUUAAUACCGCAUACGACCUACGGGAGAAAGGGGGCAACUUGUUGCUCUCGCUAUUAGAUGAGCCUAAGUCGGAUUAGCUAGAUGGUGGGGUAAAGGCCUACCAUGGCGACGAUCUGUAGCUGGUCUGAGAGGAUGAUCAGCCACACCGGGACUGAGACACGGCCCGGACUCCUACGGGAGGCAGCAGUGGGGAAUAUUGGACAAUGGGGGCAACCCUGAUCCAGCCAUGCCGCGUGUGUG